GGGGUGUUUGGUUUUGACGAGAAGUAAAUUAAACUUAAAUAAAUUACAGAAUUGACAAACACAUGAAAUUAAGGUGAAAGGAUAGGGUACGGACUAGCUAGAGGGUUUUUCUCCACACAUGACACAUAUGCAACCUAAAUUGAUUUUCAGUUGUUCUUUCAAUAAAUUGUGAAUCUCAACACUUCAGAUUAACCGUGAACAACACUUUUUUAAUCUUCAAGUUUUCCUUAAGUUA
rnacentral:lncRNA from 1 species